rnacentral:rRNA from 1 species
CUAGUAACGGCGAGUGAAGCGGCAACAGCUCAAAUUUGAAAUCUGGCUCUUUUAGAGUCCGAGUUGUAAUUUGCAGAGGGCGCUUUGGCUUUGGCAGCGGUCCAAGUUCCUUGGAACAGGACGUCACAGAGGGUGAGAAUCCCGUACGUGGUCGCUGGCUAUUGCCGUGUAAAGCCCCUUCGACGAGUCGAGUUGUUUGGGAAUGCAGCUCUAAAUGGGAGGUACAUUUCUUCUAAAGCUAAAUAUUGGCCAGAGACCGAUAGCGCACAAGUAGAGUGAUCGAAAGAUGAAAAGCACUUUGGAAAGAGAGUCAAACAGCACGUGAAAUUGUUGAAAGGGAAGCGCUUGCAGCCAGACUUGCUUACAGUUGCUCAUCCGGGUUUCUACCCGGUGCACUCUUCUGUAGGCAGGCCAGCAUCAGUUUGGGCGGUAGGAUAAAGGUCUCUGUCACGUACCUCCUUUCGGGGAGGCCUUAUAGGGGAGACGACAUACUACCAGCCUGGACUGAGGUCCGCGCAUCUGCUAGGAUGCUGGCGUAAUGGCUGUAAGCGGCCCGUCUUGAAACACGGACCAAGGAGUCUAACAUCUAUGCGAGUGUUUGGGUGUCAAGCCCGAGCGCGUAAUGAAAGUGAACGGAGGUGGGAACCCGCAAGGGUGCACCAUCGACCGAUCCUGAUGUCUUCCGAAGGAUCUGAGUAAGAGCAUGGCUGUUG